rnacentral:rRNA from 1 species
AGAGUUUGAUCCUGGCUCAAGAUGAACGCUGGCGGUCUGCUUAACACAUGCAAGCCGAACGGAGUAAAAAUACUUAGUGGCGGACGGGUGAGUAACGCGUGAGAAUCUGCCUUCAGGACGGAGACAACAGUUGGAAACGACUGCUAACCCCCGAUGAACCGAAAGGGAAAAUAUUUAUAGCCUGAAGAUGAGCUCGCGUCCGAUUAGCUAGUUGGCGGAGUAAAACCCCACCAAGGCGACGAUCGGUAGCUGGUCUGAGAGGACGAUCAGCCACACUGGGACUGAGACACGGCCCAUACUCCUACGGGAGGCAGCAGUGGGGAUUUUUCCGCAAUGGGCGAAAGCCUGACGGAGCAAGACCGCGUGGAGGAAGAAGGCUCUUGGGUUGUAACCCUCUUUUCUCUGGGAAGAAAGUUGUGAAAGCAACCUGACGGUACCAGAGGAAUCAGCAUCGGCUAACUCCGUGCCAGCAGCCGCGGUAAGACGGAGGAUGCAAGCGUUAUCCGGAAUGAUUGGGCGUAAAGCGUCCGCAGGUGGCAGUUCAAGUCUGCUGUCAAAGACCGGCGCUUAUCUUCGGAAAGGCAGUAGGAAACUGAACAGC